rnacentral:rRNA from 1 species
UACAGAGUUCUCAAGCGUUGUUCGGAUUCAUUGGGCGUAAAGGGUGCGUAGGUGGUUGGGUAAGUCAAAUGUGAAAUCCCGGAGCUCAACUCCGGAACUGCAUUCGAUACUGCCCGGCUCGAGGAUUGGAGAGGAGACUGGAAUUCACGGUGUAGCAGUGAAAUGCGUAGAGAUCGUGAGGAACACCCGUGGCGAAGGCGGGUCUCUGGACAAUUCCUGACACUGAGGCAAGAAGGCCAGGGGAGCAAACGGG